rnacentral:rRNA from 1 species
UACAGAGGGGGCAAGCGUUGUUCGGAAUUACGGGGCGUAAAGGGCGCGUAGGCGGCCUGCUAAGUCGAACGUGAAAUCCCCGGGCUCAACCCGGGAACUGCGUCCGAUACUGGCAGGCUUGAAUCCGGGAGAGGGAUGCGGAAUUCCACGUGUAGCAGUGAAAUGCGUAGAGAUGUGGAGGAACACCGAUGGCGAAGGCAGCCCCCUGGGUCGAUACUGACGCUCAUGCACGAAAGCGUGGGGAGCGAACGGG